UGGGUUCUCGUCCGUGGACUCCCGCCUCUAAGCUCUUGCUCGGUCCGAGAGCUUCACGUGCGCUGAGGGCGGCUGCUGAGGCGGCACCCUCCCUUACGCCUUUGCGAGGGCGCGGGCUGAUGACUAAUUGGAGGCCGCGACGUAGUUUUAACUGCUUUCGCACAUUGAAGAGAGGCGUCUCUUUCUCCCCUGGGCGCCGUGGCGCCUGUCCCGAAGCCAGGAGCGUGGGCGCGUAGGCAGAGCUACAGCCCAGAAGUUUUGGCGACGAGCUGGAGUCGCCUGGCGCGGAGAGAGUGCGCGGGUCCCGCACUGGGAUUGUUUGGCAGAAGGAAUCUACGUGCUGUCCGCGCCACUCCCUAGUGGUCUUGGCCAAGGCUGCUCUUGUAGAAUUUUAUUUCAGAUUUUAGACUAAAGGGGAAAACACUUCUUUCCCACAUCAGAUGUUUCUUGAAGUAUGGAGGGGGUGCCACUGACAUAACACUCGAUACCUUAUUUCAGCACUUCUAGCAAGUUUCCGGAUGUGGCAUUCUGGGACAAAACCUACACUUUACCAGUGGCCCCACGAGAUUCCACAAAAGAGGUGAAAUUGGUAUUGAACUGGCCCUGUGAAGAUGGGCGCAGGACUACUCUAAUUGACUGUUGACUUCUUACCCAAAGGGGCUAACCACAUCCCAAGGUGAUCUCAGUGGGCCUAGACCAUGUGUUUGUGAAGCUGCCAAAUGGAGUUCCUAUUGCAGUUCUGUGGUAGAGGAAUUCUUGUGAAAAACUGUGUUCCAUUUGAGGAUUGUGCUUCAAACUAACUCCAGUAGUACCUACAUUUUAACUUGCUGUGUUAGCCAGCUUUAGUCUGUUAUAUUAGAAUUCUGGCUGCACUAUUAUGGUAUUGAGAUGCAUUUUUAUUUUUGUUCUUUGUUUUGUUUUUUUGGUGGUGGUGGUGGGGCUUUGACUUUACCACCAGCACAUGGAAGAAUAGCUGCAUGACACUAGGUUUUCAUUGUAUGUUUCAUUGUAUAUAGUGAGUUUGUGGGUAUUAAUAGGCCUUUACACCUAAGAGUUGAAUUCCCUCUUUAUCUUGGAUUCCUGUGUACUGUUAACAUUAUGAAAAGUUCUCAGCUUAAGAUAGGCAGUGGGUAGGGCCUGAAGUAAUAAUCUACCUUAUUCUCCAAAAGGGACAGCAACAUGUAUUCCCAAGCUCGGUGGAGAAACAACUCCCUCUGGCCUCUCCCUUUUCCUAGUUUUCUUUCUGAAAUUGUGGAUUUCUUAUCUUAGUAUUUAUAAAACUUGCCUGAUUAUAAAAAUCAUCUGAAGGGCUGGUGAAAAACACAGUUUUCUGGAUCCUUUCCAGACCUACUGAAUCAGAAUUCGGAGGGACUGCUUGGUUUAAACAGGCACCCUGGAUAAUUUUUACAGUCCAGGCAGAUUUGAGAAACAAUAGUUUAUUUGAAGCAAAUUUAUAGCUGCUGGCUCACACAUUUGCUUAGCCCAUGUUUAAAGAGAGAUGGCUAGUAAUUCCAUCCUCAGGAGAAUAGCAGCUGGGCAGGUCUUGUCCUUAUCCUACUCCAAAUAUGGCUGUGGUUAUGGCUAUAUGAAAUGUAGCAUAGGAGAUCAGAACAGUGUGGGAAGAUUAUCUUGCCCCACCCAACGUCAUCAUCCAGAAGACUGCCACAGCCUUUACUUUGCCUCAGUGAAGACGGAGAAAUGUGGAGAUGGGGUUAUUUCCUCUGUCACUUGCAACUUCAGAAUUCCAUUUCUCACUGAAAUUAUAAUUAUGUACAUGAUGGGAUGUGUAUACAAUUAGAAUUUUUACGUAUGCUUUCUUCAUGUAAUUAUUGGGUUUUUUAAAAUCCAGUUUAUGCACCUAAAAGUUCCUCCCUCAUUAAGUCCAAUGGUACUAAUUUGAAAGAUAAGCAGAGUUUGUGCAACUCUAGGUCAUUGCCCAGACCUGAAGCAGUAUUCCCUGAAGUAGGCUGGUCCCAAAGUUGGGAAAUAUUGGUGCUUUUUGAGUUUAAACUCACUUCCUGGUUUCUUCCUCUCACCCUGGGGCAUCAGGGCUCUCCUGCUGUCCUCCAGCUGUCCUCCAGCUGUCCUCCAGCUGUCCACCCUCUCUAUUCUAUCUCCCUUCCUUCUGUGGCUGUGCCCCACGCUCCAUAAUCAUCUUUCUUUCCCUUUUAAGUUCUUUUCCUGAGUCAAGAGAUAAAAUAGAAUGUCAACAAUAAAGCGUAACUCAAUAACUCUCAUCCUCUAGAUUUGGUGGUUUCAGCCAGUGGGUGGAAAGAAAGGAAUGGAUGAAAGGAACACAGGCCAUAGUGGGAAUGGCUGAUUGAUGGCUUACUGCAUUAACAAACUGUCCUGCAUUGAGAACAGACGGGUGGUUGCCAAGGGGGAGGUGAGUGGGAGAGGGUUGGAUUGGGGAUUUAGGAUUAGCAGAUACAAACUGGUGUAUAUAGAAUGGAUAAACAACAGGGUCUUACUGUAUAGCGCAGGGAACUAUAUUCAAUAUCCUGUGAUAAGCCAUAAUGGAAAAGAAUAUAAGAAAGAAUGUAUAUAUAUGUAUAACUGAGUCACUUUGCUGUACAGCAGUAAUUAACACAACAUUGUAAUUCAACUAUACU